GCCUAUACAUGCAAGUCGAACGAACUCUGGUAUUGAUUGGUGCUUGCAUCAUGAUUUACAUUUGAGUGAGUGGCGAACUGGUGAGUAACACGUGGGAAACCUGCCCAGAAGCGGGGGAUAACACCUGGAAACAGAUGCUAAUACCGCAUAACAACUUGGACCGCAUGGUCCGAGCUUGAAAGAUGGCUUCGGCUAUCACUUUUGGAUGGUCCCGCGGCGUAUUAGCUAGAUGGUGGGGUAACGGCUCACCAUGGCAAUGAUACGUAGCCGACCUGAGAGGGUAAUCGGCCACAUUGGGACUGAGACACGGCCCAAACUCCUACGGGAGGCAGCAGUAGGGAAUCUUCCACAAUGGACGAAAGUCUGAUGGAGCAACGCCGCGUGAGUGAAGAAGGGUUUCGGCUCGUAAAACUCUGUUGUUAAAGAAGAACAUAUCUGAGAGUAACUGUUCAGGUAUUGACGGUAUUUAACCAGAAAGCCACGGCUAACUACGUGCCAGCAGCCGCGGUAAUACGUAGGUGGCAAGCGUUGUCCGGAUUUAUUGGGCGUAAAGCGAGCGCAGGCGGUUUUUUAAGUCUGAUGUGAAAGCCUUCGGCUCAACCGAAGAAGUGCAUCGGAAACUGGGAAACUUGAGUGCAGAAGAGGACAGUGGAACUCCAUGUGUAGCGGUGAAAUGCGUAGAUAUAUGGAAGAACACCAGUGGCGAAGGCGGCUGUCUGGUCUGUAACUGACGCUGAGGCUCGAAAGUAUGGGUAGCAAACAGGAUUAGAUACCCUGGUAGUCCAUACCGUAAACGAUGAAUGCUAAGUGUUGGAGGGUUUCCGCCCUUCAGUGCUGCAGCUAACGCAUUAAGCAUUCCGCCUGGGGAGUACGGCCGCAAGGCUGAAACUCAAAGGAAUUGACGGGGGCCCGCACAAGCGGUGGAGCAUGUGGUUUAAUUCGAAGCUACGCGAAGAACCUUACCAGGUCUUGACAUACUAUGCAAAUCUAAGAGAUUAGACGUUCCCUUCGGGGACAUGGAUACAGGUGGUGCAUGGUUGUCGUCAGCUCGUGUCGUGAGAUGUUGGGUUAAGUCCCGCAACGAGCGCAACCCUUAUUAUCAGUUGCCAGCAUUAAGUUGGGCACUCUGGUGAGACUGCCGGUGACAAACCGGAGGAAGGUGGGGAUGACGUCAAAUCAUCAUGCCCCUUAUGACCUGGGCUACACACGUGCUACAAUGGAUGGUACAACGAGUUGCGAACUCGCGAGAGUAAGCUAAUCUCUUAAAGCCAUUCUCAGUUCGGAUUGUAGGCUGCAACUCGCCUACAUGAAGUCGGAAUCGCUAGUAAUCGCGGAUCAGCAUGCCGCGGUGAAUACGUUCCCGGGCCUUGUACACACCGCCCGUCACACCAUGAGAGUUUGUAACACCCAAAGUCGGUGGGGUAACCUUUUAGGAACCAGCCGCCUAA
rnacentral:rRNA from 2 species